rnacentral:rRNA from 1 species
UACGAAGGGGGCUAGCGUUGCUCGGAAUUACUGGGCGUAAAGCGCACGUAGGCGGCUUUCUAAGUCGGGGGUGAAAUCCUGGAGCUCAACUCCAGAACUGCCUUCGAUACUGGAGAGCUCGAGUCCGGGAGAGGUGAGUGGAACUGCGAGUGUAGAGGUGAAAUUCGUAGAUAUUCGCAAGAACACCAGUGGCGAAGGCGGCUAUCUGGACGGUUUCUGACGCUAAGACGCGAAAGCGUGGGGAGCAAACAGG